GGCCUAACACAUGCAAGUCGAACGAUGAGGCCCCUUCGGGGGUACAUCAGUGGCGCACGGGUGAGUAACGCGUGGGAACCUGCCCUGGGGUACGGAAUAACUACGGGAAACUGUAGCUAAUACCGUAUACGCCUCAUGGGGGAAAGAUUUAUCGCCCUGGGAUGGGCCCGCGUCGGAUUAGGUUGUUGGUGGGGUAAUGGCCUACCAAGCCUGCGAUCCGUAGCUGGUCUGAGAGGAUGAUCAGCCACACUGGGACUGAGACACGGCCCAGACUCCUACGGGAGGCAGCAGUGGGGAAUAUUGGACAAUGGGGGCAACCCUGAUCCAGCCAUGCCNNGUGCGUGAAGAAGGCCUUAGGGUUGUAAAGCGCUUUCAGCGGGGACGAUGAUGACGGUACCC
rnacentral:rRNA from 1 species